rnacentral:lncRNA from 1 species
AACUGCGCUAGCUUGACUUCCAGCAUCUCAUUCCCCGGAACGUUCAACUCCGUGCUCCUUUCCACCUCUUGGUUAGAUGAAGAAUCAUCAUCUAUAUACCAUUUCAAUUAAAAAAAAAACAAUAAAUCACACCAAACAUAACAGUACAUAGAUAAUAUAAAAAUAUCAGUUCAAUUACAUUACAUGUUCAUUCAGACAAAACAUAAUGUCCCCUUCACUGUCUAAACGCAUCACCCCUAAAGAUCUCAUCUCCAAAAUUAACUCUUAUUUUUUUUACAAUUUACCUGGAGGAGGAGUGAAGAAAGAGGAGCAAGGCCAGCCAGAAGGAGAAGACAGAGAGAGAACCUCCUCCUCCGUCAACGGAUGCGUCACCUGGUCGACCAAAUUAGCGAUCUUGGCGGCGGUGUUCUGGUGCGGAGGGACCCAGAAGGAGGAGCCAGGG